UACGAAGGGGGCUAGCGUUACUCGGAUUGACUGGGCGUAAAGGGCGCGUAGGCGGCUUGUACAGUCAGACGUGAAAUUCCUGGGCUCAACCUGGGGGCUGCGUUUGAUACGUGCGGGCUUGAGUUCGGAAGAGGGUCGUGGAAUUCCCAGUGUAGAGGUGAAAUUCGUGAGAUAUUGGGAAGAACACCGGUGGCGAAGGCGGCGACCUGGUCCGAUACUGACGCUGAGCGCGAAAGCGUGGGGAGCAAACGG
rnacentral:rRNA from 1 species